CCUACGGGCGGCAGCAGUGGGGAAUAUUGGACAAUGGGCGAAAGCCUGAUCCAGCCAUGCCGCGUGUGUGAAGAAGGCCUUCGGGUUGUAAAGCACUUUCAGUGGGGAAGAAAGCCUUGGGGCUAAUACCCUCGAGGAAGGACAUCACCCACAGAAGAAGCACCGGCUAACUCCGUGCCAGCAGCCGCGGUAAUACGGAGGGUGCGAGCGUUAAUCGGAAUUACUGGGCGUAAAGCGCGCGUAGGCGGUCUGAUAAGCCGGUUGUGAAAGCCCCGGGCUCAACCUGGGAACGGCAUCCGGAACUGUCAGGCUAGAGUGCAGGAGAGGAAGGUAGAAUUCCCGGUGUAACGGUGAAAUGCGUAGAGAUUGGGAGGAAUACCAGUGGCGAAGGCGGCCUUCUGGACUGACACUGACGCUGAGGUGCGAAAGCGUGGGUAGCAAACAGGAUUAGAUACCCUUGUAC
rnacentral:rRNA from 1 species